GUGGUGGAGGCGAUUGUGUCGUCACCAGUUGUAGUUGUGUUGCGAUCGUCGUAUGUCUUCGAAAGGGAAUCCGGUUGAUAUUCAGGAACUAAAGCACCAAGCACAAAAGAGUAGCGCUUUAAUCUCUCUGUGGGGUUGGCGUUCAACUCAAUCGCGCGGUAACGCAAGCGAACUCGGAAAAUGACCGUCGUGAGUUUCGAAAAGAGUUUUCUUUUCUUUUUAAGGGACGCAUUCCCUGGAACCGGGUUGUCCGGAGAUAGGGAUUCUGGUAUCCAUAAAACGCCGACUUUUUCACGGUGUUCGGAGCGCUCUCGUCGGUACGUGAAAAUCCGAGCGACGCCUGGUAAAUCUCGUACUUGGUCGUACUGAUAUCCGCAGCAGGUCUCCAAGGUGAAUAGCCUCUGGCCGAUAGAAUAAUGUAGGUAAGGGAAGUCGGCAAAACGGAUCCGUAACUUCGGAACAAGGAUUGGCUCUAAGGGCUGGGCCGAUCGGGCUGAGGUUUCAAGCGUGCAGUGUAUGCUUGGCUUAGUUGUGUUGAGGACUUGUUCACUUGCCACCGGUUGUUCGGCUGGUCGAGUGUAUUCGAGUCUGAAGCAGAGCUGGCCGACAGACCGGCACGUGCAGAACCUGAGCUGCGCGGCUGUCCGUUUUCGUGUACAGACCGUUUCGGUCGGCAUUCAACAGCCAACUUAGAACUGGCACGGACACAAGGAAUCUGACUGUAUAAUUAAAACAAAGCA
rnacentral:ncRNA from 1 species